rnacentral:lncRNA from 1 species
GGAGGACUGGAGUUGGGAACCACUGUUGGGGGUACUGGGGUUAGGAAGCACUGUUGGGGUACUGGAGGACUGGAGUUGGGAACCACUGUUGGGGUACUGGAGGACUGGAGUUGGGAACCACUGUUGGGGUACUGGAGGACUGGAGUUGGGAACCACUGUUGGGGGUACUCGGGUUAGGAACCACUGUUGGAGUACUGGAGGGAUGGAGUUGGGAACCACUGUUGGGGGUACUGGGGUUAGGAACCACUGUUGGGGUACUGGAGGACUGGAGUUGGGAACCACUGUUGGGGGUACUGGAGUUGAAAACCACUGUUGGGGGUACUGAGGUUGGGAACCACUGUUGGGGUACUGGAGUUGAAAACCACUGUUGGGGGUACUGGAGGACUGGAGUUGGG